rnacentral:rRNA from 1 species
CAGUAGCCACGGGAAUACAGAGGGUGCGAGCGUUAAUCGGAUUUACUGGGCGUAAAGCGUGCGUAGGCGGCUUCUUAAGUCGGAUGUGAAAUCCCUGAGCUUAACUUAGGUAUUGCAUUCGAUACUGGGAAGCUAGAGUAUGGGAGAGGAUGGUAGAAUUCCAGGUGUAGCGGUGAAAUGCGUAGAGAUCUGGAGGAAUACCGAUGGCGAAGGCAGCCAUCUGGCCUAAUACUGACGCUGAGGUACGAAAGCAUGGGGAGCAAACAGGAUUAGAGACCCGAGUAGUCCCUGUCUCUUAUAC